GCCAGGGUAGCCUUAGUGGACAUGGCAUCUGCCUCGUUAGCGGAACACUGUGGGUUCGAUUCCCAUCCUUGAACA